CUCCCGCGUCGCAACCCCUUUCCUGGGGAGGUGGCGUAGGACUUCCUGAUCGCCGCGGGCCAUGCCACCGCAAGUCCCAACAGUCCAGCUCCCAGUCCCUAGCAUUUCAGCAAUCUGGACACUAGAGGAUUCCAAACAUUUCAGCUGUUUUCUGGACAACCCCUGGAGCUGCCACUGGUAACGCACACCCACGAGCUGGAACCCAGCAUCCCUCAAACAAGUGCUUUCCUCCAGGACUCUCAGUUCCUAACGGGAUACCACCAUCCACUCUGGUGUGCCCACACCAGAAACUUAAAAAAAACCGUGAUUGGUGCCUCUCCUGAGCGUGGGACAGGAAGAGUUAACCUGCUGACAGACGGCAUUUUUUACCUUCAGUCAAUAUGAACAAGGCCCCAAGACUAUGAUUCCAAACAUCUGGAUUUCAUCAAUAUGUGAUCUGUCAUCGUAUAUUGGCAUUCCCCAGUCCCCGCGCCAGAGCAAUGCGGCUGGUUUUAUUAAUACGUCAAAUACAUUAUCCGUGUAAUACACUUGUCUGGCUGGGGCCUCCCGCUGGGGCGGGGCGGCGGAUUUGAAUGUAUGAUGAAUCAGUUUGCAUUACAUGUUCGUAAGUCAUCAUUUGUCAGGAUUAAUAGGCAUCCCUGGUCGAGGGGGUGGGGGUGGGGCGGGCAGAGGAGAGACGUGUAUUUAGCUAUGGCCCAUCCUUAUCUGCCAGUGCCCAGGGAUGCCCUGAAAACCGCUCUGCACCCUUCUGCCCAGACCCCAGGGCAGGUGGCUGGUGGUCUGGUGAUAUUUUUUAGCAGUUCCAGAAUCACAUGGAAGCAAAGAGCCCUAUUUGUCUCUGCUUUGGGCUUGCCAUGCAACCAAAAAGGGUAUGGCAGGGACUGUUUGCACGGACUGGCUAACUCUUGCUCAUCCUUUAAGACUCUGAAUUCUUUCUUUCCUGACUCCUCCAGACUGCACCAGGUGCCUCCUCUGUGUUCCCAUAGUUUCCUGUGCUACCUCUGGUCACACCGUGUUACAGUUGCUUAUCAUGUGUCUGUCACUCUCUUUAGACUGUAAAUUUCUUGUGGGCAGGGAAUAACUUGUUUAUUGCUAUAGUCCCAGAAGAUCCCCUGGAAAAGGGAAUGGCAACCCACUUCAGUAUUCUUGCCUGGAGAAUCCCAUGGACAGUGGAACCUGGAGGACUACAGUCCAUGGGGUUGCAAAGAGUCAGACACAACUGAGUGACACUUUGAACUUUCAGUAUCUUGCAGGGGGCAUGACCCAAAGUAAGAGGAUAUUAGUAGUGUAAGUAGAAACAAAUACAUAUUCCUUGAAUGAAUGAAUAAAUGAUUGUUGACCUUGCUAAA